ensembl:snRNA U2 U2 spliceosomal RNA
AUCACUUCUCGGCCUUUUGGCUAAGAUCAAGUGCAGUAUAAAUAAGUGAUUUUUAUUUAUAAAUAGACAAUAUAAGUACAUGUAACAUAUAACUACAUUACACUUAGUAUCCACU